rnacentral:rRNA from 1 species
ACGGAAGGCGCAGUGGGGAAUAUUGCACAAUGGGGGAAACCCUGAUGCAGCGACGCCGCGUGAGCGAAGAAGUAUUUCGGUAUGUAAAGCUCUAUCAGCAGGGAAGAAAAUGACGGUACCUGACUAAGAAGCUCCGGCUAAAUACGUGCCAGCAGCCGCGGUAAUACGUAUGGAGCAAGCGUUAUCCGGAUUUACUGGGUGUAAAGGGAGCGUAGGCGGCACGGCAAGCCAGAAGUGAAAUGCCGGGGCUCAACCCCGGAACUGCUUUUGGAACUGUCGAGCUAGAUUGCAGGAGAGGUAAGUGGAAUUCCUAGUGUAGCGGUGAAAUGCGUAGAUAUUAGGAGGAACACCAGUGGCGAAGGCGGCUUACUGGACUGUAAAUGACGCUGAGGCUCGAAAGCGUGGGGAGCAAACAGGAUUAGAUACCCUGGUA